UAGCCCUGGUUAGAGCAGGCAGAGAAGACAGAGGACAGUACCAGGCCAGAGCUGCUGUGAAACAGAAAAAGACCGGCGGCCUCAGCAACCGGCAGAAACAGCACAAGAAGGCCAUGCCUCUGGCUGCCAAAAGAGAUAGAGCAGCUCGUUCUGGGCAUGAGAAAAAGCAGCGGCAAAAGCGUUCAGGGAAGCAGUUCAAGGGAAGGAAAGCUUGGAAGCGAGGCUUUACAGAUCCUCCAUUUGUUUAUUUUCUCAACUUCUCAACACCUUCAGGAAGAGCUUAAGUUAAUUGAUUGGAUAAAAGAAGAGAAGGAAAAGAGAGGAAAAUUUUGUUAUCUUGGAUCAUCAUAAUAAUUAAAACUAUUUUAUUUUUUAAUUUUAUUGUGCCCAUUGGUGAGACAUUUAGAAAAUAAUUUUGGGUCAGAUGUUUGGUCAUUUUUUUUUGUUAGUGUGGAUCUUAAAAGCCGUUGUAUUGAGAAUUAAUUUAUAUUUAAAAAUUAGUUUAUAUUUGAAAAUGCAAUUUAAAUUUUUU